ACACAUUCUCACUUUGUCACCAGGCUGGAGUGCAGUGGAGCAAUCUUGGUUCGCUGCAAUCUCUGCUUCCUGGGUUCAAGUGAUUCUCCUGUCUCAGCCUCCUAAGUAGCUGGGACUCCAGGCGCAUACCACCAUGACUGGCUAAUUUUUGUAUUUUUAGUAGAGACGGGGUUUCACCAUGUUGGCCAGGCUGGUCUUGAACUUCUGGCCCCAAGUCAUCUGCCUGCCUCAGCCUCCCAAAGUGCUGGGAUUACAAGUGUGAGCCACUGUGUACAGCCUUUGUGUUAACUUACUUUGAAUUAGCCCCUUAUUCCAAAGCUGCCUCCUGAAAGGAGGCUUCCUAAAAGGUGUUGCUUUGGGGUAAAUAAGAGGUGCUGGUGAAGUGAGACUAGCUUGCGCAUCUCUCUGCCAUGAAGGAAACUAGCUCCGCAGACGUUUUACUAACCACAGCAGACCCCCUCCUUGAGGAACCCAGAAGGGCAGAGAGCAUCAGAUGAAAUCAACUGCUGAGAGAGGGAAGUGAGUGCUGUGUUGGCACCGCUGCCAGAAACUCUUGAGAAUGAGCAUCGUGUGCCACUUAUCCACUGCUUGCCGACUUCAGUAGCAAGAGCCUCCAGAAUGCUCAUGGAUAAACAUCAUCUUUGUGGCCACACAUUGUUUUAUGAGCUGAGUCAUCAGACUGGCUGGCUCCUUAAAUGCUGCUGUGUGAUUCUCUAGGCAGCAGAAAACAAGGAGAGAAGAUAUGAAGUGUAUCUCAUCGAGCUUUGUAGAGGGCCAGUAUCAUUCACCAAAGGUGAUGGGGGAUUUACCAUUAUGGAGUUUGCUUGUGAUAAAAAAUUAUUGAU
rnacentral:lncRNA from 1 species